AACCCCACACGGCCACACCCAGAUCAAUAUUAGAGAGUAUACUUACUCUUGCAGAAAAUUGAUCAUAAACUACUUGAAAGACGACGUCGUUGAGUAGUUCAUGCGUGGCUUUCUUCUGCAAUUGAAUUUCACGCUGCGAACAAGAAGAAGAAAAUGUCAUCACUGUUUAUGAGAUUAACAAGGUUUCCUUCAAAACCCUUUUUUCCCUUUACUUUAAGGUUAUUCUCUCACUCUCACAAUGUUAAUGAUGCUAUUUACUCAUUCAAUCGAAUGCUACAAAUGCGUAAUACUCCUUCCAUUAUUGAAUUUACCAAGAUUUUAGGUUCUCUUGUUAAAACUAAGAACAAUUACUCAACUGUUAUUUCCCUUUCUCACCAAAUGGAAUUCCAUGGAAUUAGGUCUGACAUUUUCACUAUUACAAUUUUGAUCAAUUGUUACUGUCAUAUAGGUCAAAUUACUUGUGCAUUUUCUCUAUUGGGAAAGAUUCUUAAGAUGGGUUAUCAGCUGGAUGUAGUAACCGUGAAUACCCUUAUCAAAGGUCUUUGUCUUAAUAAUGAGGUUCAGAAAGCAUUGUACUUUCAUGAUGACCUUAUCGCUAAGGGUUUUCAGCUCAACCAUGUUAGUUACGGGACAUUGAUCAAUGGCUUGUGUAAAAUGGGACAUACAACACCUGCCCUCCAACUGUUGACAAGACUCGAACAAGGAUCAGUAAAGCCUGAUGUGAUGAUGUAUAAUGCAAUCAUUGAUAGCAUGUGCAAAGAUAAGCUUGUAGAUGAUGCUUGUCAAUUAUUUUCUGAAAUGGUUAUCAAGGGUAAUUCGCCUACUGUUGUCACUUAUAGUGCUCUAAUCUAUGGUUUUUGUAUUGUCAGUCAAUUAAAAGAAGCAAUUGUUUUGUUGAACGAAAUGGUAUCGAAAAACAUCAACCCAGAUGUUUAUACCUUUAAUAUAUUGAUCGAUGCGUUUUGUAAGGAGGGAAAGAUGAAAGAAGCUAAAAGUAUGUUAAAUAUAAUGAUGAAACACGGCAUGAAACCUGAUGUAGUUACUUAUAAUACUUUAAUGGAUGGGUUCUGCCUUCGUAAUGAAGUGAGCAAGGCCAAAUAUAUAUUCAACACUAUGGUCCAAAGGGGAAUGAUGGCCAAUGUUAAGAGCUACAGUAUUAUGAUUAAUGGGUUCUGUAAGAGUAAAAUGGUGGAUGAAGCCAUCAAUCUCUUUGAAGAAAUGCAUUUCAAAAAUACGUUUCCUGAUACAGUAACUUAUAGCACUCUUAUUGAUGGCUUGUGCAAAUCAGGGAGAAUAUCAUAUGCCUGGGAGCUUGUAGAUGAGAUGCGUGACAGAGGUCAACCACCCAAUGCAAUCACCUACAAUUCCUUCUUGCACACUUUGUGCAGAAAUCAUCAUCUUGACAAGGCAAUUGCAUUAGUCAAGAGUAUUAAAGACCAUGGUAUCAUGCCAACUUUGUACACGUACAGUAUCCUAAUUGAUGGACUUUGCAAAGGUGGGAGGCUUAAUGAUGCACUAAAGGUUUUUAAGGAUCUUCUGGCUAAAGGAUACAAUCUAAAUGUGGUAAUUUACAACACUAUGAUUUGUGGACUUUGUAACGAGGGCUUGUUUGAUGAAGCAUUAGAUUUGUUGUCAAAAAUGGAAGAUAAGGGUUGCUUUCCCGAUGCUGUCACUUUUGAAAUAAUGAUUUGUGCACUCUUUGAAAGCAGUGAGAAUGAUAAAGCAGAGAAACUUCUACGUGAAGUGAUUGCUAGAGGUCUACUUUAAGAGCAAAACCAGGUUGCAAACCAAGACCUGUAUGUGAUGUACCAUGAAAGUGAACAGAUAUCUUGACUUCAUGCAAGAAAGAGGCAUGGUGUACGGCCCUCUGUCUGUCGUAUUGUUAUAAAAGAGAGAAACUUGAAUGUUGAAAGAGGCUUGGUGAUUGAACAACUUUUUCACCAAAACCAAGCUGAUUUCAAGCUCAGAACUCUACAUCUAUAGCCCAACCUAGCAGAUUUUUUCAGCAUGAUCUUUAUUUUUGCAGGUUACGUUUAGCUGAAGGAAAUUCCCAGAUUGGAAAAACUAGAGAGUAGAUUAUUAAGCAUGUAUUUGGAUAUAUGUUGGAAGAGACAUUCUUAUAUCCCUAUUCAACAAAUGAAAUAGGAAAAAAUGCUCCAAGGUAUAAGAUAUUGUUAGCAUAAUUUGCAACACAUUUUUCAUGUUUAAAUAUAAACAAUUGAUUCUGAUAGUGAUAUGUGAAAAUCUCUUUCUGGUUCAAGGUAUAAGAUAUUGUGUUGAAAAUAGUUACUUAGCAUUAUUAAUGCAUGGAGAUUU